GGCAAUUCCAUGAAUACAUGGUAAAAACCUGUGGGAGUGCAAAUACAAACACAGGACACAAGAGAACACAUUAUGGGCAUGAAUGUCAAGCAGCCUACUCUCAGUACAAUAGUCUAUUUUGCUUUCUAAGAUUGGGCAAAAACAGAGACAUCUAUUGCAUAUAAAGAUAAGGACAUAUACUUCAAUGGUGAAUGUUUUCUGAAACUUCACUGAUAAUAUUAUUUCAGCAAUAACAUACAGGCACUUAGUGGAGCUAAAGGAUUUGGACUUUUUGAAAGUUAUCAAAUAACAAGAAGAGAAAAACACACUACUUCAGAUAUUGGCACCUACAUGCAGUGCCUUGACAAAAUUAUUUAACAACUAUUUAUCAUUUGCUCUUUUCCACUUCUCAUUAUCUUUUCUAGCUAACAAACUGUCAUUCUACAAGCUUUGCUCCACUGUUUCAGGUAUUAGCAACUCUGUCAAAGAAUCUGAUCGAGGCUCUUCGGUAGCAAUGUAAUCAGGGAAAGACAAAGGACUAGGUGGCAGCCGCAUAUCAUCAGUGCUACUAUUUAACAUUUCCACCACCUUGGCCAUCAAUGGACGAUCUGAUGCAUUUUUUUGAGUGCACCACNCAACCCAACUAUACAUAUUUUUUUGGCUAUUGCAGCCUCACUCUCACUAACAUUGUCAAGGUCUAAACCUCCUCCUGCAUUUACACGGUCAUAAACCCAUGAUGGGAAAUAUACUUUGCUUGAACUACUUCCCUUUGCAUCAGUGUUCCUUCUUCCUCGAACCAUUUCCAACAAUAACAUCCCAAAACUAUAAACAUCUGAUUUGCAAGAAACAGCUCCAAGGUUGUUUGACAUCAACUCAGGAGCAAUAUACCCCAUAGUUCCUCUUGUAGCACUAGCAGACACAAAAUCAUAUUCUGCGGGGUAAAAUUUUGCAAGACCAAAAUCUGAAACUUUAGGUGUGAAAUUAUGGUCAAGCAGGACAUUAUGUGGUUUGAUAUCAAAAUGAAGAAUGCACACAUCACAUCCCACAUGUAGAUGGUCAAUUCCUUGAGCUGUCCCUAUAGCAAUUUGUAGAAGUCUCUCCCAACUCAAUGGCUGAAGUUCUGUUUCUCUUGAAAAUAUGUACUUGUCAAGAGACCUAUUAACCAUGUACUCAAAGAGAAGAGCACGAUAAGAUCCCUCACAACAAAAUCCCACUAACCUUAUUACAUUAACAUGAUGAAUUUUACCAAUUGAGAAGAUUUCAUUGAUGAAGUCCACAUCACUACACUUGGAGUUGCCAAGCAUUUUGACGGCGACUAAAAGACCAUCAGGAAGUUGUCCUUUGUAAACUGUCCCAAAGCCACCUCGGCCUAAUUUAUCUUUAAAAUUGUCUGUAAUUGCAAUAAUAUUAGAGUAAGAGUACCUUCUGGGCAUCAAGGAUUGUUGAUUGGGUAGAAAUUCCUCCUUGUUAUCUUCAGUCUUCUUUGUUGUUCUAUGUUUGUAGAUUAGGAAUCCAACUAUAACUAUUGGAGCAAGGAUGAAUCUCGCAAUCAGAUUUAUUGCUAACAAAACGUCCAAAAUAGCAUAAAAGAUGGUUGAAACCAGAGUGGGUACAUAUAUGCCUGAAAAAUGGCAUUCAUAGAUAUUUGGUGUACCCAAUGAGCUCAAAGUGCAGGAACCACCAUCUGCAAUGCAAUCCCGGCACUCAACAGACCAUUCAAGAUCAAACCCUGACGCCAUCAAUUUCAAGAUACUUUCAUAAGAAGGGUACCACACAGCCUGGUAAAUUGUGGGAACCCUCGAAAUGAAGGAACAGGAACCUUGAAGAUCAGAUAUUACAUAGGUGCCAUAGCUAACAUAAACAUGAGAGUCAUUUCCACUCAAACAAGGAACUUUCCUAUAAGCUUGAUCAUUGAUCUCACUCGAACAUCUGAAGAAACUGGCAAACGUACUAGAUACCAAUCCCCCAUAGCGAUUAUCAUACUUUACCUCAUCAACUGACACUGAACUGUGCGGAAGGUUGCAGCUCCCACUGGCUAAGUUAACAUCAACCAGGCGGAUCAAAUGUCUAUCAUAGGAAAUUUGCUUGACAAAAUACUGCCCUGAAUGAAAUUCCAAAAUGGGUUUGUUGUCCUGGCAAGAAAGUUGAUAGUCAGGAUCACCACACUCGACUGGAUCGGUGGUUAGGCGAAAUGGGUAAGUGAUCUUGUUGAGUUCACCACAUGAAGAAGAACAAAUUUCUUGGAGAAAUCUUGCUUCAAUUUCAGUUUUAGAUAGAAAGAUGAAGAGGGCAAGCACAAGAAGAGUGGAAAUUGUCGGCGAUUCGUGACUUUUCAUGGUUAAGGAUAAGAAACUCGGAGCAAAUUGUGUUUCAGUGAAGUGAAGUUUGUAA
rnacentral:misc_RNA from 1 species